rnacentral:misc_RNA from 1 species
GAUGAAGAACGCAGCGAAAUGCGAUACGUAAUGUGAAUUGCAGAAUUCAGUGAAUCAUCGAAUCUUUGAACGCAUAUUGCGCUCUCUGGUAUUCCGGAGAGCAUGCUUGUUUGAGUAUCAGUAAACACCUCAACUUCCAUAUCUUUUUUGAAAUGGGAGUUGGACUUGAGUGAUCCCAACGCUUUUCCUCACCGAAAAGUGGCGGGUUACUUGAAAUGCAGGUGCAGCUGGACUUUUCUCUGAGCUAUAAGCAUAUCUAUUUAGUCUGCCUAAAAAACAGAUUAUUACCUUUGCUGCAGCCAACAUAAAGGAGAUUAGUUCUUGUGCUGACUGAUGCAGGAUUCACAAAGACGGCUUCGGCCGACUUUGUAAACUCGAUCUCAAAUCAAGUAAGACUACCCGCUGAACUUAAGCAUAUCAAUAAGCGGAGGA